UACGGAGGUCUCAAGCGUUGUUCGGAUUCAUUGGGCGUAAAGGGUGCGUAGGUGGCGCCGUAAGUCGGGUGUGAAAUUUCGGAGCUUAACUCCGAAACUGCAUUCGAUACUGCGGUGCUUGAGGACUGGAGAGGAGACUGGAAUUCAUGGUGUAGCAGUGAAAUGCGUAGAGAUCAUGAGGAAGACCAGUGGCGAAGGCGGGUCUCUGGACAGUUCCUGACACUGAGGCACGAAGGCCAGGGGAGCAAACGGG
rnacentral:rRNA from 1 species